UACGAAGGGGGCUAGCGUUGCUCGGAAUCACUGGGCGUAAAGGGCGCGUAGGCGGGAUGGCAAGUCGGUCGUGAAAUCUCUCGGCUCAACCGAGAAACGUCGGCCGAUACUGCCGUUCUUGAGGAUUGCAGAGGAGACUGGAAUUCCCGGUGUAGCGGUGAAAUGUGUAGAGAUCGGGAGGAACACCGGUGGCGAAGGCGGGUCUCUGGGCAAUUCCUGACGCUGAGGCGCGAAAGCGUGGGGAGCAAACAGG
rnacentral:rRNA from 1 species